UACGUGAGGGCCAAGCGUUGUCCGGAUUCAUUGGGCGUAAAGGGUGCGUAGGCGGCGCGGUAAGUCGGGUGUGAAAUCUCGGAGCUUAACUCCGAAACUGCAUUCGAUACUGCCGUGCUUGAGGACUGGAGAGGAGACUGGAAUUUACGGUGUAGCGGUGAAAUGCGUAGAUAUCGUAAGGAAGACCAGUGGCGAAGGCGGGUCUCUGGACAGUUCCUGACGCUGAGGCACGAAGGCCAGGGGAGCAAACGGG
rnacentral:rRNA from 1 species